AUGGAGGCUAAGAAACUAUCGUUGAAUGACUCCCCAGAUAGAAUCUUGUGGGAUUUUGAUAAUAAAGGGAAGUUUACUACUAAAUCCGUAUAUGUAUGGUUGGAAAGAAAUCUUUCAGGUCCUAACUAUAGGAUGGUAUGGAAAGCACCUAUUCCGCUGAAAAUUAAGAUUUUCCUUUGGCAGCUGUUUCAGAACGCAGUUCUCACUCGUGAUAAUAUGCGCAUUAGAAACUGGCCUGGAAAUCCUGUGUGCUCCUUCUGUAAUGAAGUCGAGACAUCAAAUCAUUUGUUCUUUACCUGUUCGCUUGCUCGGUCGGUUUGGGGGGUGUUGGGCAUGACGGCCGGGGUUUCAUGUUGCCCUCGCUCUCUGUGGCAAAGCUUAACUUGGCUUUAUAAGUUCUUUCCGGAUGGGAAACAGUUUUACAUGAUGAUUAUUGCUGCAAUAUGCUGGGGGAUUUGGACCCUCCGCAAUAAAGUCACAUUUGAUAAUCAUAUUGUUCGUUCUCCUCUUGAGGCUGUUUUCACUGCAUGCUCGUUUUUGCUGUACUGGGCAGGUUUGCUAAAGGAAGAAGAAAGGGCGAAGCUCCAGGCUGGAGUGAAGAGGUUGGCUCACGCGGCUGCUGCGCUGGCGGACAGGUCCCUCCCUCGAGGCAGAUCCCUUUUGGGUGACAGAGAAGGGAUCCAGAUUGGUUAG
rnacentral:rRNA from 1 species